UAAAGUCGGAGCUCUGAAGAGCGAGGGCCUGAAGAGUUGAGUGGAGGCAAAGAUGGGAGGGGGUUCAGAGGGAUCGAAGGUGAUUCUGGUACCGUAUAUGGAGGCUCACGUUCCAAAGUACCACCGGUGAUCUCCUCCGAGCAACAGGGACGGAGUCUCUCUCCCUCGAUGAGGACUGAGGAAUACCGAAUGCAGCGAUCCUCUCGAGCAUACGUUCAUUGUAUUGGAGAGAGAAUUGGUCGAGAUAGAAUUCGUUCAUGGAUAUCCUCAUGUAGAAGGUUAGUUUAAUUCACAGCCUUAUAUUUUAGAACUUUUUCGUUCUAUAUUUCAGUUAGGAAUCGAAGAAUGCAGAACGAUACCUAAUCGAAGAAUGCAGAACGAUACCUAAUCAAGGAAUGCAGAACGAUACAGACACACAGGGUGUGGCAGUUGUGGGGACAGUUGGCUUGAUCUUAUUGAAUCAGUGAUAACGUAUUGAUUGCUGGUAAAAGCUUGGGCAUUUUGAUGUUUGGCUGCUAAUAGAGUUAACAAUUAGGUAGAUUUGCAGUUUUGAUUUGGGUGGUUGGUGAGGGAGUGUUUUUUUGUGAAUUGUUGUUGUUGUGACACUGAGUUGAGGCUUUCACUUGUGUUAAGAAGUGGGUUAGUGAGAAUCAGUUGGUCUUUGCAAGUAAAAAUAAAAAUAUUAAUGUUGAACAGGUUUAAGGUUUUAGGAUUUUAGCGAAGUAAAAUGUUGUGUUCCUAGACAAUCAGGUAGGAAAGUAGUAGAAUUCUUUGGGUGUAAGCUUUUGCUUAGAACUGGUAGUGUUGUUUGUUACAUUUGGUCAAGUGUGUAACAUAGACAGAUUUUUCUCUCAUUGCAUUGGGCAGUAGUAAGUCAAUAAAGUUUGGUCAAAAAAUUCUUAUGCAGUUGCUUAUGUGGGUGACUAAAGUGUAACAAAAUUUUUUUGAGGGACUAAAGUGUAAUAACUCAUAUCUUUCGAUGCCUUAAAGCAUAAUUAAUCAUUUAUCUUAUAUUAGGAUGGACUCUUGAGAUUUGGUUUUGUUGUGGGUGGACCCUACAGCAAAACAUGAAAAUUGACGGACCGCAUAGGAGACUCCACACACACAUAUAAGUCGUGAUUGUGGGAACCACACGAGCGAAAUAGAUUGACGGUACAUGGUUACGUAACAUGAAAAGGAAAUAAAAUCUUUUGCAAUAUCUUCGAUGCUAUCAUUUUUUUUUGUCUAUCUAAAAGGGAAUGAUAUCAUAUCUGCUGCACAUAUACGUAACAUGAUUGGUUCCUCUCCUAGUCUUAUUGGAGUUAAGGGUCUCUGCGAUGAAAGUCA